GUACUCACUUAGCAGCUUAUAUACUAAAAUGGAAACGAUACAGAGAAGAUUAGUAUGGACCCUGUGCAAGGAUAACAUGAAAAUUCUUGAAGCAUUCCAUAUUUUU